CAGGCUGAAGAAGUUGCUUCUGAAAGCAUCGAUGCGAAGGAUCGUCGAAUUGAUGAUGCGCAUGCGCACAAUGGGCCCGUAGAGCCUACCGUCCAUUGGAUAGUCGCGGGCAAACACGUAGGAGGAGAAAAGGCUCCAUACCUCCAUAACAUCUAUCUGUCUGACAACUGGGCUGGGAGAGUAGUAGUGUCUAUACUGCAUAAGUGGAGAAACUGAGACUCAGGCUAAGCAAACUGCUUGAUGCCGUACAACUACAUGUAGUGGUGAAUGUGAGGCUAAACCUUGGAUUUGUCUGGCUCUGAAAUCUCUAUGCCUUCCACAACAAUAAAACUCAGAAGACAAAGAGGUGGUACUUCCAGAUGGCCAGGUGACAAUGGAACACUGCCAAGCAAACCCCAAGAAAAUGUACAGACUCCACGUGAAGUUUUAUUGGCUUCUGUGGAAGUGGCACAUGGCUUAUAAUGUGGAGAUGAAUCUUACUGCUGCUGGAAGCAUCCCUGAAGCCUAGAGAUAUCCCCAGCUCUCCUCUGGAUGUAGUGACAAGCAGAUUUGCAGAUGCGAGAUGGUACUGGCAGAGGCUGAUUUGUCAGGCAAAUAAUGGGUCCCCUUCCCUGGACCUGUGCUGAGGCUCCGUGUGAAUCUCCAAGAUCUCCCCGCCGUCAUGCAAGGUUUGUCGUGCGCUCACAGGAGCCCACCUUACUGCUCCGCCUUCCUUUCUCCUCACCCAGAGUAGACUGCAGUUUAUCAGUGUGCCCGCUUGUUCUCAAGCCUGCUGUAGUCCUUCUAGCACAUAGAUUAAUUUUUCUUCAGAGAGCCAAGAAGGGACAUAAGCAUUUUCCUACUCGAAAAUCUGCCAGAAAUUUCAAAACAGUCUAAAAGUGUUAAAGGGUAUAUGCAGCAAGCUUCUAACUUCUUCCUUUUGCAGAAGCUUACACUUCAGCUCAGGGGCAUUUUCUCACCACUUCGCAUCCUGCCCACAUCCCUAUGUGCACACUCUUAGGCAUUAUUACAUCCAUGCACUUCUUCCUGACUGGGGACUUAAGUCCUUCUUACAUAGGGUCGUGGGUAGAAAGGUUUUUUCAAGAGCAUUGUAUGGAAGCUGGGAGACGACAGUUAUAAAGGGAGGGUGACAUUCUAUUACACUUGUGGUUUUGUGGUCACAAGGGAUCGAGACCAGAUAGAAAUGUAAGGAAAUAAACAAGUCCAUGUUAACACAGGUGUGUACAAGGGUAUUCCAGAAAGACCUGAGGUGAUCCAGGAAAAAGUUUGGGAUGUUUUCUUUUCUUCUUCCACUGACAACAAAAUCUACUGUUCUCUUUUGAAAUUUUUGGGAAAGAGAUGGCAGGUGAGGAGGUUAGAGCUAGAUGUGUAUACUGCAACUGUUAACCCAAAAGCACAAUUGAUUUGUCACUAUUGGUCUAAAAAUAAAAUGGGAAUGAUCCACGUGAAGCUGAAUAUAGGAUACAAUCUAGUUUCCCUCUUUUAUUACAAUCUUUGGCUACCGGUGAUCAUUUUGCUUUUUCCUUAGGGAGUAGGAAAGACAGAGGAGGGACAGGAUUCACUAUAACAUUUAAACAGCAGUGCUA